rnacentral:lncRNA from 1 species
AAGGAACAAGUCACCACUUGCACCUCGCGACUGCAACAAACCACUGCUUUACUACAGUUUUGCAUUGAGGCCCUCAAAGAGACCGAUAGUUCUGCGUUCUUACAGGUGGGGACCAUGUUGAUAUCCAGGGUAGCCAAUACCGAUCAUUCCUGGCACAAGGAAUGGACAGCGCCGAGAGUUUCGCCCCAUUUCGACCUCACGCUGGAUGACAAAUCGGUAAUGAAGGCCAUCGAACAGCUCAACUUUAUCCAGAUGAAACCACCAGCUGCCCCUGCAAUCAUCCCUGAAGAGUGCAGUGCAGAGAACAAUUCGGUAACAAUAGCGUGGCAGCCGCCACCCCACAGUCAUGUCGAGGGGUACGUUUUGGAGCUAGACGACGGAAAUGGUGGAGAUUUUAGGGUAAGUCGGCUUCUCGAUGAUUUCUUAAUCCCCAUUAAUUAGCAAAAUGCUUUCGCGAUGCAAGAUCAGC